GCCACUGUGUAAUAUAUGACAAAUAAAGGCUAUUCUAUUCUAUUCAUUCUAAAACACUGUUAUGGUGUGAGAUCAUGUGUCAACAAUAUACCAGUUUAGCCACAUUUCCUUUCAUUUUAACUUUAAAAAUGCAUUGUUAGUUCUGUCUAUCACCUGACAGGCAGUUUUGGUUACUUUGUUAGAAACUUGUUUCUGUGUGCUGUGUGUGAAAGAAAAUACAAUUAUUCAUUACACAAUCAUUCAAUUACCCAUUUUCUUUCUUGAAUGAAGUUUAAAUAAAAACUGUACUUUACAAAUACAGAGUUCCUGGGUGACACCCUUUUGGAUAGUUAAAAAAAAUGUAAAUAGUCUGUACAUAGAAUAUAUAAGGUUUUUACUCAGUGCUGUACAGUGGAACCUCGCAUAACUCGUUCCAGAAUCUUAGUCGUAAUGCGAAACAAUUUUUCCCAUAUAAAUGAAUAUAAAAUACGAUAAUGCGCUCCAUGCCGAAAAAAUACUCAAAUGUUUUAUGUGUAAUGUUUAUUUAAAGAAAGUUACUUAUAAAUUGUUAAGGAGAGUAAAUCAUCUUCAUCUUUUGGGACAUUUUUGCAAGGGUUAUUAAACUUUGCACAAAAAUGAAAGAAAUUUGAAAAACGCUAGCUGAACGAGUGCUAAACACAGACUGACAUAACACUGGCACGGAAAGUCCCAGCGCCCCUUUCUGUGUCACUCGUUAUGUGAAAUGUCGCUCGUAUCUGUAAAAUAAAAAGGGACUGGUGUCAAUUUAAAUCCCUUUUAAGGUACCAGAAUUGUAGUUGAUGUUAACCUUCUCUACCUCAGCUGGUAUCUCUGGAGUCACUUGUCUGCCAACAUUGGUUUCAUUUAGCUCUGCUGUGGGAUGUAAUGAAAUAAGGUUGUUCCAUCUUAGUUCUUAGUAAGAAUUUAUUAUCAUACAUUCCUUUUUGAAAUCCUUUAUAGCUGCUUGUAGUUAUCAUCAUGUUCAUGAUGGCAAACAGGUCAAUAGAACAUUAUGAUAUUAUAGCCACUUUUAAAAUGUAUUAAUUUAUCACAGUUGUACUUAUAAUAACUAUUUGGCUAAUCUGGAUUAUGUAACAAAUCCUCUGGGACCAUUUGGUUUCUUUUUAGCUCCCUGUAAUGUAUUCGCAUGGUGCUGUUUCCAAGUAUGUUAACCGAAAGUUGAGUGCAAGGAAAAAGCGUGGAAGAAAAAGAUGCACAACCAACUGAGACAACUGCAGCAUUGAGAGACAAAGUUUUGGAAACAUGUUCAUAGGAGGGACAUGAGGGUAUAUCGGUAGGAGAAUGCUGAGGAUGGAACCACCAGGAAGGAGGAAAAGAGGAAGGCCAAGGAGGAGGUUUAUGGAUGUGGUGAGGGAAGAUAUGCAGGUAGUUUGGUUGAAAGAGGCAGAUGUAGAGGACGGGGGGGUAUGGAGACGAUCCGCUGUGGUGACCCCCAAUGAGAGAAGAUGAUGAAGAUACAGGGAACCUACAGCUUCUCCAUAUUGGUUUGACACCGCGUAAAAGUGAAGGCCGUUAUUAUCUGGAAUUGAGUGAAUAAUCAUCGUCUUUUACACUGCUGGAAAAAGGCUCCUUCACUGGAAAUAUUCUAGAAGAUGGCUAGACAGAAAGCAAAUCCCCUGUGGGAAUACUUUAGAAAGACAAGGAAAAGCUGCACUAAAACAUGUUCACGGAAGUGUUAAAUUGUUUGUUUAGAUUGUAUAAAUAUUACAUUUGUGUAGAUGUUUUAGGUGAAGCUGCAAUAAAACUUUUUUUAUUUUUA